rnacentral:rRNA from 1 species
CUACGUGCCAGCAGCCGCGGUAAUACGUAGGUGGCAAGCGUUGUCCGGAAUUAUUGGGCGUAAAGCGCGCGCAGGCGGAUAGGUCAGUCUGUCUUAAAAGUUCGGGGCUUAACCCCGUGAUGGGAUGGAAACUGCCAAUCUAGAGUAUCGGAGAGGAAAGUGGAAUUCCUAGUGUAGCGGUGAAAUGCGUAGAUAUUAGGAAGAACACCAGUGGCGAAGGCGACUUUCUGGACGAAAACUGACGCUGAGGCGCGAAAGCCAGGGGAGCGAACGGGAUUAGAUACCCCGGUAGUCCUGGCCGUAAACGAUGGGUACUAGGUGUAGGAGGUAUCGACCCCUUCAGUGCCGGAGUUAACGCAAUAAGUACCCCGCCUGGGGAGUACGACCGCAAGGUUGAAACUCAAAGGAAUUGACGGGGGCCCGCACAAGCGGUGGAGUAUGUGGUUUAAUUCGACGCAACGCGAAGAACCUUACCAGGUCUUGACAU